rnacentral:tRNA from 1 species
ACCACGCUAGCACAGUGGAAAGUGCAUAACGCUACGAACGUUGGGACAGGAGUUCGAUUCUCUUGCGUGGUUCCA